GACGAACGCUGGCGGCGUGCCUAAUACAUGCAAGUUGAGCGAUGAAGAUUGGUGCUUGCACCAAUUUGAAGAGCAGCGAACGGGUGAGUAACGCGUGGGGAAUCUGCCUUUGAGCGGGGGACAACAUUUGGAAACGAAUGCUAAUACCGCAUAACAACUUUAAACAUAAGUUUUAAGUUUGAAAGAUGCAAUUGCAUCACUCAAAGAUGAUCCCGCGUUGUAUUAGCUAGUUGGUGAGGUAAAGGCUCACCAAGGCGAUGAUACAUAGCCGACCUGAGAGGGUGAUCGGCCACAUUGGCACUGAGACACGGCCCAAACUCCUACGGGAGGCAGCAGUAGGGAAUCUUCGGCAAUGGACGAAAGUCUGACCGAGCAACGCCGCGUGAGUGAAGAAGGUUUUCGGAUCGUAAAACUCUGUUGGUAGAGAAGAACGUUGGUGAGAGUGGAAAGCUCAUCAAGUGACGGUAACUACCCAGAAAGGGACGGCUAACUACGUG
rnacentral:rRNA from 1 species